rnacentral:lncRNA from 1 species
UCGGGGCCUUUUGAAGCUGAGUAUGCGGUAUGGGCUUUGCUCGUUGUUGAAGGUCGUACGGUGACCUGUAGUUGUUAAUUUCUGUGUCAUAUUGGUCUCUUGUGGAGAGUUGUCUCAACAUGGCAAUCAUACCACAUCUUCUUUUUUUUUGUAAUCAAUGAAUUUUGUAAAAGAUUUAAUGACUGGAGAAUUUCAGAAAAGGUAUCAAAAGUUCACAUGAAUAUUUUUAGCGCUUAUCUGUAUAUUAUGAACAUUCAUUACUAUAUAAAUAUAGUGUAUUUACUUUCAAUUCUAAGUUUACUAAUCGAUCCAUGGUGGUCAUUGAUAUAGUAUACAGACCCUCUCUAUUUAAUAAACUCUGUGACCGCCGUGGAUAGUAAACUUGAAAAU